AGCAGCCGCGGUAAUUCCAGCUCCAAUAGCGUAUAUUAAAGUUGUUGCAGUUAAAAAGCUCGUAGUUGAAUUUCGGGAUCAAUUAAUUGGUCGUGCCUCUGGUACGUACUGGUUUUAUUGGUUUCUCCCUUCUGACUAACCAUGAUGUCAUUAAUUUGGUGUCUUGGGGAAUCAGGACUGUUACUUUGAAAAAUUAAAGUGUUUAAAGCAGGCUCGCGCUUGAAUACAUUAGCAUGGAAUAAUGAAAUAGGACGUUUGAUUCUAUUUUGUUGGUUUCUAGGAUUGACGUAAUGAUUAAUAGGGAUAGUUGGGGGCAUUAGUAUUCAAUUGUCAGAGGUGAAAUUCUUGGAUUUAUUGAAGACUAACUACUGCGAAAGCAUUUGCCAAGGAUGUUUUCAUUAAUCAAGAACGAAAGUUAGGGGAUCGAAGACGAUCAGAUGCCGUCGUAGUCUUAACCAUAAACUAUGCCGACUAGG
rnacentral:rRNA from 1 species